rnacentral:misc_RNA from 1 species
CAGAGUUAUCCAACUCCCAAACCCAUGUGAACUUAUCUCUUUGUUCGCCUCGGCGCAAGCUACCCGGGAACCUCGCGCCCCGGGCGGCCCGCCGGCGGACAAACCAAAAACUCUUGUUAUCUUUAGUUGAUUAUCUGAGUGUCUUAUUUAAUAAGUCAA